UACGAAGGGAGCUAGCGUUGUUCGGAAUCACUGGGCGUAAAGCGCACGUAGGCGGACGUGUCAGUCAGGGGUGAAAUCCCGGAGCUCAACUUCGGAACUGCCUUUGAUACAGCACGUCUUGAGUCCGGAAGAGGUGGGUGGAAUUCCUAGUGUAGAGGUGAAAUUCGUAGAUAUUAGGAAGAACACCGGUGGCGAAGGCGGCCCACUGGUCCGGUACUGGCGCUGAGGUGCGAAAGCGUGGGGAGCAAACAGG
rnacentral:rRNA from 1 species